rnacentral:lncRNA from 1 species
GCAUUCUAUUUCUAAUACUCAAAUCGAAAGGCUAGUCUUCUUUUCUACAUUCUACAGGCCCAGCUUCUUCUGAGAAGUUCGGCAGCAAGGAAGUCUAUUCCCUUGGAUUCUAUUUGGAUUCCUUACCACCGGGGAUUCCCCUAUCCUCACUCUAGGAACAGUAGGAACAUACUGAGGCUAAAGUAGCCGCAGUCUUUGAGUAAGUUGCUAUUGAGCUCAGCCCCUGGUAACAU